rnacentral:rRNA from 1 species
UACGUAGGGACCGAGCGUUGUCCGGAUUCAUUGGGCGUAAAGAGCUCGUAGGUGGUUUGUCGCGUUGUUCGUGAAAACCUGAGGCUUAACCUUGGGCGUGCGGGCGAUACGGGCAGACUGGAGUACUGCAGGGGAGACUGGAAUUCCUGGUGUAGCGGUGGAAUGCGCAGAUAUCAGGAGGAACACCGGUGGCGAAGGCGGUCUCUGGCCGAUUACUGACGCUGAGGAGCGAAAGCGUGGGGAGCGAACAGG